UACGGGGGGGGCAAGCGUUGUUCGGAAUUACUGGGCGUAAAGGGCUCGUAGGCGGCCAACUAAGUCAGACGUGAAAUCCCCAGGCUCAACCUGGGAACUGCGUCUGAUACUGGAUGGCUUGAAUCCGGGAGAGGGAUGCAGAAUUCCAGGUGUAGCGGUGAAAUGCGCAGAUAUCAGGAGGAACACCGGUGGCGAAGGCGGUUCUCUGGGCCUGUACUGACGCUGAGGAACGAAAGCGUGGGGAGCGAACAGG
rnacentral:rRNA from 1 species